UGGGGAAUAUUGGACAAUGGGCGAAAGCCUGAUCCAGCCAUGCCGCGUGUGUGAAGAAGGUCUUCGGAUUGUAAAGCACUUUAAGUUGGGAGGAAGGGCAUUAACCUAAUACGUUAGUGUUUUGACGUUACCGACAGAAUAAGCACCGGCUAACUCUGUGCCAGCAGCCGCGGUAAUACAGAGGGUGCAAGCGUUAAUCGGAAUUACUGGGCGUAAAGCGCGCGUAGGUGGUUUGUUAAGUUGGAUGUGAAAUCCCCGGGCUCAACCUGGGAACUGCAUUCAAAACUGACUGACUAGAGUAUGGUAGAGGGUGGAGGAAUUUCCUGUGUAGCGGUGAAAUGCGUAGAUAUAGGAAGGAACACCAGUGGCGAAGGCGACCACCUGGACUAAUACUGACACUGAGGUGCGAAAGCGUGGGGAGCAAACA
rnacentral:rRNA from 1 species